AUGUAUUAUGCCCGAUGGGUGCCUGAUGGGUUUGGGUUGCCUGAUGGGUUCGGGCGUGGGUCUAAUAACACACCCAUGGGUAGGGUCAUGAGUUUAGAAACGACCCGAUUAUUAAUCGGGCAUGGGUCUGGUAAAGGUCUACCCGGCCAAACCCGACCCGAUUGCCAGGUUGAGUCUCGCUCCACCAGUUUUCAGUUCCCCACUCCACGCUCCCGCUUUGACCCGGAGAAAACCAACCGUUCGAGAAGGCUGGGCUAUCAGCCCAUACAGCGCAGAUGCAGCCCGUUCGGGUGGAGAGAAAAGGCCAGCUCUAGUGCACAAAGGCUGAGGUCGCGUCGGAGGAAGCGAUUGCUGUACGGGAAGGUCAAACAUUGGCAGAGGAUCUAUAUGUUAACACAGUUCAGAUUGCAUCGGAUUGUAAGAGGGUGGUUGAUGAUGUCCAGAAGAACUCGGCGGCUGGGUAUGGAGCUAUAG
rnacentral:rRNA from 1 species